AAGACCUUCUGUGCCUCUGCUUCUUCCCUUCCAUCUGAUGAUGACCUCCAGCCCGGACCCAUAAGCGGGGUCAGCAGGGAAAUGGAAGAUCUAUUCUGCAAACUGCCUCUUUCCCCUGCUGUCUCCCCCAACUCGGUCCUCUCCCAAAGUUCCUAGAAGAAGAGACACACAUCAUGGGAAGGAUAUACACAGAGUGGUGGAUGAAGAUGUGAGAUCUGGAACUGCGAUGGUCAUUUUGUAACUACGAGCAGACCCCGCCUGACGAUGAAGGAAUGUAGAACUGACAAAGACACAGAAAGAUGGAGCCAGA